CUGUAGGAAGUGGGUAUAAAAUACGGUCACCAUUCAGAAUGAAACUGUAAGAAACCCAGGCUUUUUUGUGCUCAGGCUACUCACAAUUCUUAGGCUGUCCUUGAAGUGCUGCUUCAUGGGACUUUCCGUGUCUUGGUUCUCCAACGAGUCCCAAAAGUACAGCAAAAGCUCCAGGGAAAAAAAAGAGGACAGCAGGGUAGUUGUACUCAGAGGACCUAAUUCCUGUUAUCCACAGAAUUCAUUUUAUUAUCUCUCUGUGCCUGUAUCUUUCUCUAUUCUUGGUCUGCUUAGACUGAACCUUCUCAGAAACACCAGUCACAUUUGGGUAUCAUCGCUGCCAUCUGUCAAUAAAACUCUUCUCAGCUUUGAAAAGUGAGCGGGACACUAUAGGCAGGUGUUUAGAUAAGGAUUUGGAACUAUGGAGUUCACAUCUCAGGUGCAGCACAAGGUUCCUGCAUGAGCUUAAACAGGCCUUGAGCUGGGCUUCCAGUCCCUACGUGGAAAACAAGGAGUUUUGUUCACUUUCUGUGUCUUGCCUAGUUGGGUUUGAAAUUCUGUGGUGCACAGACCUCUAACAAAGAUAUUUAUCUACAUGCAGGACCAGGAACAGAGGGAACUGAGGCAAAGUCUCUGCCAUGAGGCUGUUUUACAGCUACUGGUUAGGAGUUUUGCCCAGGGCUGAAGAUUUGCACAUUGAUUAGCAUCUUUUUUCCCAAGCCUGGAAGACAAGGCAGCUUUGGAAUUCAAAACCUCAUCCAGGUUCACCAAUGCUACUAAACUUUUUUUUUUUUUUGUAAGGCUGCCUCUUUAGACAAUGAGACAAUGUGAAAUUAGAUUAACUUAACCUCUUUCUGUAUUUUGCUAUCAGAACUUUACAGAGCUCAGAUUUUGACUUUACAUCCAUGACAGAUAAAAUUACCAGUCUGGAUUCCUUACUGCAGUGAACAUUUUGGCAGAACUGCUGUCCAGGUAUGGAUUCCUGGAUUUAGUCCCUGCUGUGCUCACUCUUAAGCUGUGUUACACACAGACCAGUGGGGGCAGAAGGAGAUUCUGGCAUGGAGUCUGUUUUCAAAUCACCCCAUAAACACAGAAUUUUUUACCCCACAGCCAAUCCUUUUGCUCAAAAACAGAACCUUGCAAUUCAACAAAUCUAACAGCAAAACUCCACACAGGAAAAUUCCAGUUGAAGCUUAGGUAGCAGUUGUUAUUCCCUCUUCUCCCGAGCCUUAGAAAUUGCCCUUCUCUUCCCACUGCAGAGAGACCUCCUUUUAAGUGCAUUUCCCUAAGGAAAUGAGAAUGUGUGUCUACUUAAUUUCAAAAAGACUGCACAGGGCUGUGUUUUGGAAAUUUUCUAAUCUGAUGAUGAGCUGCAGUCCCUCUCCCUGUGCUGCAGACACUGUACCAAAACAAACCAAGCUUUCGCUGACACUCUUUGCUCUCCAAGUGGAUUCUCACUUGCAGGAAGGAUCAACACAUCUCCCACUACAAAAAGCCAACAGGACUUCAUGGGUGAGGAACUUCCUGAGGCCCCUUCCUGAAGAAAGUUUUGGCUGCAGAAGGAUGGUUAGGACUUUUUGAUGAUGGAAAUUUGAGGCACCUGAAGCCCACCUGAAGCUUGGCCCAAGGACAUUGUCAGGCACACAGAUCCAGUGAUAGGGAGAAAAAACAUCUGGCUGGGGCUCAAACAAGUGUCUCGGAAACAAGUGUCUCAUGUGUCUCAAGACAAGGAAUUAAGAAAAAUAUUCCAUUAACAAGAGGUGCUUUGCAGACACAUGCUUCAAACAUCAACAUAAAGAUUAUCUGGUGAUGAACAACCCCAGAGACCAACUUCAGAUCUUCUGAUAAUCAAACCAGCCUGAGGCUUGAUUCACAAGGGAAUAAUUCACACUGAAGCUCAGGGAGAGCCUGAGGCUAAAUAUGUUGAGAUAUGAAGAACACACAUGUAUUUUCCCCCUGCUGUUUUUACUGCCACAGCCCUUGGCUUGUUUGAGAAGUGAGCACAGGACUUGUGAAGCCAACUUUGUCUUCUGCCAAGGAAGGGGCUCUCCUUGCUCCCACCCUCCAAGCCUGAGGUCAGACCCCACUGAUGUCACAGCUCCUCGAUGGGGGAUGAAAACGUCUAGCAACAAAAAAUCCAGUUGAUACAUUAAAGUAUACGUAACUGGAGGUGAAGAUGUUGAUUUCUUCAGUGAGCUUGUGUUGCUCAGGACUUUCUGUUCUUAAAUCAUUAUGCAGUUGUUGGUGCUGUGCUGUGUUCGUUCCCUGUUGAGCCAUACCCGACUGAGGUCAACCCACAGCAUUUUUAAACACACUCUGUUUAGUCUCAGGGUGUAUCUCACCAGAAAAGGGAGCAAUAAAUAAAUAAAUACAUAAAUAAAUUAAUUAAUAACUGGCCACACA